UUUAAAAAACAAGUCUGGAAAUGAGGACUCGAAAGCCACGGGGUAGCCAAAUACCUGCCAUGAAGGAUUUUACAGUGAGAAACGACGCCGUCAUAAAUUGGAGAAGAGGGAUCAUAGGUAAGGCCAAUUGGGCUGCCUCGAAAUCCAAGAAACAAAUCAUGAAAGAAAUGAAACUCAAAAAAAUUGUACAGAAACACAAAAGAGAAAACAGCAAACGCAAAGAAAUAAUGUGAAAAGGGUAUGAGAGAGAAGGCAUUGAGAAGAAGAUUGUAGGGGUACAGAGAAGAAGAG
rnacentral:misc_RNA from 1 species